rnacentral:rRNA from 1 species
AGUGAACGCUGGCGGUAGGCCUAACACAUGCAAGUCGAACGGCAGCACAGUAAGAGCUUGCUCUUACGGGUGGCGAGUGGCGGACGGGUGAGGAAUACAUCGGAAUCUACUUUUUUGUGGGGGAUAACGUAGGGAAACUUACGCUAAUACCGCAUACGACCUACGGGUGAAAGCAGGGGAUCUUCGGACCUUGCGCGAUUGAAUGAGCCGAUGUCGGAUUAGCUAGUUGGCGGGGUAAAGGCCCACCAAGGCGACGAUCCGUAGCUGGUCUGAGAGGAUGAUCAGCCACACUGGAACUGAGACACGGUCCAGACUCCUACGGGAGGCAGCAGUGGGGAAUCUUCGACAAUGGGCGCAAGCCUGAUGCAGCAAUGCCGCGUGAGUGAAGAAGGCCUUCGGGUCGUAAAGCUCUGUUGUUGGGAAAGAAAAGCUGCGGGUUUAUACGCCGAUAUCUUGACGGUACCUAAAGAGUAAGCACCGGCUAACUUCGUG